CCCAAAAGUUCUCUGAGGAUAACAAAGGUUACAGCCAUCGACAGAAAUCUCUCAGACACUGAGACUUCAGAGCAUGGGGUCGGCCUGUGGUCACCGUGGAUCCUGGCCAUGAGACAGGGCAGGGCUGUAGAUGACAUGGACACCCGGGAGAAGCUGGGACAGGGAAUUGCUCGCCGUGUAGUACCUACAGUGACGCUCUACAAUGGAUACGAGGAUCACCAUGUCUAACUUGCCUGCCUUUGGCGUUGUGUCUGGCUGUGAGGCAGAGGAUGGGGCAGCUGAGACCAGGGGAGAAGCUGCGGCUGUGGGCGAAGGCUCGGGGGGGAUACCACCGCCUGGAGGAACGCUCAGGGCAACGGCAAGCCAGGCCAAUUUUGAGGAAGACGGCCAGAAGCAACCCGCUGUAGGACACUGGAAGACACUAAUGCCAUCCAAAGGCAGCAAGGAGGAGCCAGAGACAGGAUGCCAGGAUGCUGGAGGUGCGGAUGAGACCCAGUCCACUGAGCAGCUCAACGUGUCACGUCUACGCAGCUCUUCAGUGGAGAUCCGUGAAAAGGGGUCUGAAUUCCUGAAGGAAGAGCUACACAAAGCACAAAAGGAGCUGAAGCUGAAGGACAAAGAAUGUGAGAGAUUGUCAAAAGUCAGAGAACAACUGGAGCAGGAACUAGAGGAGUUAACAGCUAGCCUAUUUGAGGAAGCGCACAAGAUGGUGAGAGAAGCAAACACUAAACAGGCGGCGUCAGAGAAACAGCUGAGGGAGGCACGGGGGAAGAUCGACAUGCUGCAGGCAGAGGUAACAGCUCUGAAGACGCUGGUGAUCACAUCCACACCUUCCUCUCCAAACCGGGAGCUGCACCCUCAGCUCCAGAGCCCUUCUAAAGCUGUCUUCAGGAAGGGCCAUGGCCGAAACAAGAGCACCAGCAGCGCAAUGGUCUCAGCUGCCAGCCAGAAUGUGACUCCAGAGCCAGUCAGUCAUGAGCGCAAAGAGUCUGGGUUACCCGCUCUCCUCUCUCUGCUCCUUUGUAUCAUCCCUGGGAAGGCUAUCCACAUCACCUAUGAACCAGGCUGGCAGGCCUUGGGGGCAGAUGCUUCCUCAUCCUUGCGGCAGGUCGACUCCAUUUUAUUUGCUGAGUUCCAGGCCUGGAAGGAAUCUCCAACUUUGGAUAAAUCGUGCUCCUUCCUGGACAGAAUUUAUCGAGAAGAUGUAGGACCUUGUCUGGACUUCACAAAGCAGGAGCUGUCGGAGCUGGUGCGAGUGGCUGUGGAGCAGAACACACUCACCAUUGAGCCAGUUGCUUCCCAGACGCUGCCUGUGGUGAAGGUGUCAGCAGAAGAGUGUGGUGGGCCAAAUGGGUUCCGGUCACAAAUUGUAACGAAAUGUGCUUUGAGUGGCCUCCCCAGGACCUGCAAGCACCGCAUCAUGCUGGGGGAUUCUGGGAGUUACUACUACAUUUCACCAUCCUGCAGGGCCAGGAUCACAGCGGUGUGCAACUUUUUCACAUACAUUCGCUACAUCCAGCAGGGCUUGGUGAGGCAGGACGUGGAGCUGAUGUACUGGGAGGUGAUGCGGCUCCGGAGGGAGAUGUCUCUGGCCAAGCUUGGGUUUUAUCCCAGUGAGAUGUAAGCAGAAGCCUGAGCAUGGAAGGAAACUGCUCCUGUAGGAACGGCUUGUCAAACGUAGUCUACCAAACAGAUGAACGCGGUGCCUCUCCUGCAGUGGGCCUUACUCCCUCCCUACCCUCCCUCUUCCUGAAGCUGAUCAAGGAGCAAGAAGCACAAGUUCCACCUUCAGCUGUCCCACUUCUCCAACUGUGACUGGAAUGCAGCUUCCAAGCUACCCCCUCAGAGCCGGGCUGGCCCUGGCUGCUUUGGGGUGGCCGUCUACAGACUGUCCUCUAUGGAGUCUCCUAUAUGCAGUGUAUAUCCAUUUUUUUUUUAAAAAAACUUUUGUUUUUAUAUGCAGUCUGCUUUGGCAUAGUCUGAGGCCAGGCCUGUGCAAGGCAGGAGUCCUGGACCUUCUUUGUAAGCAAGUCUUUCGGGACAGAUGCUGGCUGUCUGUCCAUCUGUUCCACUUCUCCUUUGGAGUGGAGGGUGCUGUGCCCAGCCGUACACCUAGGUCCUGCUGACCAUUGCUCCUCUGACGGCCCUGUAAAUGCCAGCAGCACACAAUAAUCUUGUGGAGAGCCAUGAACAGCCUGUUUCCAAGUACUUCCUUGCUCCUUUUAAAGGAGCCUGCGAGAGAAGCUUUCUGCCAGCUGCGUCACAAAGAGGGAUUUGUUUCUGGUUUUAGCUUGCGAUUUGGCACUGGGUAAUCCAGGCUGGGGGAACAGCCGGAGCAGAGGCCGGAGCUGUGCACCUGGGGCCUUCAGCAGAAGAAAGCGAGCAGGGAAGUUGCGUAACUGACAGCUGGACGCAGCUUGGCUGCAGCAUGUUUUCUCCUGGUCUAAAGAAUCUGCUGCUGUUGUCACAGGCCGAUGUGGACCGUGAUGUGUGGUGCCCUGUGACGAUCCUUGGUGCAGAAGUCAUCCACAGUGCUCUUAGAUACAAACCUUACCCACAAACAUGCCUUUGAGCUGUUCCAGCUCUGAGGGAGCUUCGGGCAGGACUGUUCCCACUGUUUAGAUAGAAACCGUGGUCCCAGGCUGAAUUCUUUAUGUCUCCUGAAGAAACCGUUGUCCCAGGCUGAAUUCUUUGUGUCUCCUGAAGGAUCAUGCCCAGGCUGGGCACAGCCUUGAGGCCCUGAGAUUUCCUCCCAGUAUUACAUCAGACCUAGAGAUGCAUGUCCACUGGGAAACCCAGCUUCUCCUGGACUCCCAUCCCCAAUAAGGAAAUUUGAGACAUCUUUGUGUGCACAUGUGAGGGACGAGGCUCCUGCAUGCCUCAAAAGGUGCUGGGAAGGGAGUUGCUAAAGCUGUUGGAAGGUGGAGGCCCACUAUAGCUUGAGCUCGGGUCCAGGCUUGUCUGUACAGAACUGGGCAAAAACCAUGACAGUGUUUUGUAGCCAAUUUAGCCUUUUUUUCAGUGAUUCUGGAAGCCACCACCCACCCUGGGUUUUUCACCUCAUGUGGCACUUCUGCACUCUUGACUGGCACGUCACCCUGCUGUCAUCGUAACUCUUAUCUUAGCAAGUUGGUGCCCGGAACCAGGUCACCAUCCUCAGCUGCAAGAAGUUUCAUCCCCUUCUGGGAGAUGCUACAGUAGGAACUCUGUACUGUCAGUGGAAGAGAACUAACUGAGCUGCUGUGGAUUUGUCCGGGGUUGUGGGGGGGCGGGGGAGGAGGAAUAGACGGGGAAGGCAAAAGUUUGGCUUGGAACCUAACACAAGGACAGCUUCACAGAAGAUCUGAGAAAACCUUCCUGUAGAAGACCCCCCUAAGCACAAGCUUUCCAGUCACUGAGCACGCUCACAGUAUGCUGCCGAGUUGCUCCUCAGGGGACUCCUUUCCGUAUAGCUAAACUGGCAUAGGGUAUUGUUUGCCAAGGGUUGGUAGCUAUUUGAAACAUGAGUUGUCAUCCCCAGAGCUGGGAGAACGUGUACCUAUGGGAGAACAAGUACACCCUGCCUAGAUGAGUACGUACAUCUCCUACUCUUCACCAAAGGAAUAUGUUUCAAACGUGGAGUGAAAGCCUGGAAAAUACAUCUUUGGGCGAGAGCCCAGCUGGGUCUUGAGCUAGCGAUAAACCUGCACCUCUUUGGUGCCCGCAGGCUUGCGGCAAUUUGACAUCAGCUUUUUCCGGAGGGGAAAAUAGAAAUGUCUGUCCCCAGCUGCAGAUUUCAGCUCAGGGAAAAGAGAAGUAUAUGGUAAACAGACUGAAGCCGUUCUUCUGGAUCUGUGAACUUUUGGACUACUAUCACUCUAUUUGCCUAUAAACCCACAUCGAAAUGGAUGUCUCCCGCAUAACCUUUAUUCAGAAUUAUGGAGCACUGCUUUUAAAUGGAAGCUUUUCUGCGACUCGCGUUCUUACCUUAAGCACACUGCGCUUGCUCGAACAAAGAAGUGGCGUAGUCAGAAUUCUGCAACAUUAUUCCUUGUGUGUCUUGCUUGCCCUUCCUGGCUAAGCUCCUGGCUUAGUGACUCCCUCCAGCUGAAUCGCUGGAUUCCUGCGGUGGCUGGGGAUGGUGGUGCUUCUGAAAACACAGACCUUCGGUAAAAAGUGACUGUGGCUUGUUAACCAACUGGUGUGCCUGGGGAUCUGAACGUCUUCCUGAAGAAGAGGAGUAACAUCUUGAUUCAGACCUUAGGGUGCUUGAAUGGUGAAAUUUCCAGGCUGCUGGAACGGUGAAAUUUCCAGGCCGCUGGAAGCGUUGCGCAGUGUUUCUUGCCACCACCGUGCUACGCAAAGGAAAAUCACGUUAACAGGACAGCGUUAGGGUUGCCACGGGGAAGUGAUUCACCUCCCGGCUUGGUUUGUAAUUCUGCAAUUCCGCAUUAUUCCCUUCAUGCUAUUUAUAACACAGUUUUCAAACAAAUGAUGAUUCUCUGUCUGGAAAUGUGAAUGAAAUAUUUGCCUUGCAAGAGGCCAGCAGCUUCACCUAAACCCUAUUCUAUAGAAACUGCAGAACAGCCAGGAGAGAGGGACAGUAUAAGUAGGAUGCCCUAUGGAAAUGUUUCUAUAUUAUAUUUGAGGAAUUCAGACAGAGAUAGAUAGAUAUAGAUAUAUAUAUAUAUUUGAGGAGAGGCUGAGGGAGCUGGGCAUGUUUAGCCUGGAGAAGAGGAGGCUGAGGAGAGACCUCAUGGCCCUCUACAACUACCUGAAAGGAGGUUGGAGAGAGGUGGGUGUUGGCCUCUUCUCCCAGGUGAGUAAUGACAGGACCAGAGGAAAUGGUCUGAAGCUGCGGCAGGGGAGGUUUAGGUUAGAUAUUAGGAAGAAUUACUUUACUGAAAGAGUGGUCAGGCACUGGGACAGCCUGCCCAGGGAGGCGGUUGAGUCACCAUCCCUAGAGGUGUUUAAGGAACGUCUAGAUGUGGCACUUCAGGGCAUGCUCUAGUGGCAGAGAUUGUAGGGGAUUUGUUUGUUGUGGGUUUUUUGGGGUUUUUGUGUGUGUGUGUGUGUAUGGUUGGACAUGAUGAUCUCAAAGGUCCUUUCCAACCAUGGAGAUUCUAUGAUUCUAUGAUUUUUUUUUUUUUUAAGCUGCCCCCCCCCCCAAAUGUAUGAUAAUAUAACAUAACCGCAGCACAAAUGCUGAACUGAAAAUUGAGUUUCUUCAGAGGCUGAAUUUGUCAUUGGCUUUUCUGAGCAGAAAUUAAAAAAACCUAUCGCAAGGAAGGAACUAUGCGACAAGGUACUUUCUUGCACUGUCUGGGUAAAAACUGUAUGUAUGAGCACCAUGGACACAUUUCUUCUCAGGUCGAUGCCACACACUAGGUAUGUUGUGAAACAUCUGGUUUCCCGAGACAUCUGGAAUUGGACCAUUGCAGAGUUAAGUGAAAUAGAUUUUUUUUUUUUUUUUUUAAAAAGCAGUAUUGUUCAUGGAUAAAGACUUCUUUAUAGACCUUGCCAAUCAUAAAUCUCUAUCCUUUAGGCCAUUAAGUGGCUUAAAAUAGAGUUGGAACCGACGAGCUCGAUGCCUGGCAUAUGAAUAUUUAACGUAAGGAUAUUAGGCGCACUUUAUGUUGAUUUCCUGCCUUAGAUUCCUUGCUAUCCUUACUAUUCCUUGCUAAGUUCAAGGGAGGAAGGGAACUGAAAAGGCGUAAUUUCAGCGAGCCCAUGGAAAGUUUAGUUUGUCACAACUUAAAGUCAGAUAAAUUAAAAAAAGGAGGGGGAAAAAAAAAAAAAAAGGCAACCACUUGUACUACUGGGUCCACAGGGACGUUGUGUUUCCCAAGUUCCCAGCUGAAGGAUGGGCUGAACUUCGGAUAAGCUGAGCCUAAGCUUGUGGGAGGUGAAACUCGGAAAACUGGCCGGUUUGCCCCAUUUCAACUAAUGCCUGUGCAUUCCCGGCAGCGGGAGAAGCCCUGUGUAAAAGCAGAGCGGGUUUUGGCGUGGCUGGAGUGUCGGCGUCUUAAUCCAGAACGUGAACCCAGAACUACCAGGUCCUUGCUCCCCUUCAAGCCUUGUUGCCUGGGGAUGCUCAGGGGUUCUGGGAAUGGUUGUGCUUUCCCAGGCAAGAAAGCCAGGGCAACAUAUCAAUUUGGAACGGUUUAUUUUCGUGUAAGAGCUCCCUGUGUUUGUACUAGGGGAAUGUGUUUAUUCUAGGAUCAAAUAAAAGUCCUAAUAAUGGGGUAAGGUAGGGUCAUUUUCUGUUUUGAGUUCUAUGACUUCUUAUAGAGAGCUUUCUGUGCAGAACGAGUUUACCUAUGAAGCAAUUAAUGUGUACUCUGGAAAACUGUGGUAUUGAUUUAAGGUAACAGAUAACCACAGACUGGCCUUUCCUGGACUAUCGUUUUGUCUCCUGACCCAGGACAGCCUAUGCGCUUCCUACUCACAGCCUCUGGACCCUCUGGUGUGCUCUUCUGUCUGGUGACAUGGUUCAAAUGGGUUUAUUUGCAAGAACUAACACUCGCACAGUUCUGUUAAAGCCCGCUGAUGGUGUUGACCCAAAGCCCGCUGAUGGUGUUGACCCAAAGCCCGCUGAUGGUGUUGACCCAAAGCCCGCUGAAACGGAUCAAGUUAUCAGUUAGCAAAGCUACAAGCCGCUUACCAUACCUCUGAAUAAGCCAUUAAUGGGCAGAAAAUUGAGUUUGAGACAACUUCUAAGGAGUUUUCACAUGAGUUUUGCUCUCAGCUGCCUCCCUAAAUGGCCUGGAGACUGAAUUUGAAUGGCCGGGCAAAUCCUUUUACAGGAAGAUCUUUUCUUUGGUGCUUGUUCCCAAGACGAGGGUAAGCAGCGCCACCGUUCCUGGGCUUUGUGAAGGGUGAUUAAAAAAAAAAAAAUCUAUCUACGCUGUAAAAGUCAAUACUAUAAAGGUAAUUUCACUAAUUUUGCCCUGUGAAGUGGAAAAAGGACUUUCCGCAAUCGCUACCUAACAGCUCCCCUGUAAAAAAAAAACAUAGGAAAAACAAAGGAAGCCAUAAUCAACAAAUCUGAUCCCAAAUCCUUUUCUAGAGCUCGCUUUGCCCAUGGUGUUCUAGUUCUUGGUCUAGGAUCUGAUUUUGAACUGAUGAGAACAGCAAUUACAAGACUAAAGCUGAAAUUCAGACGUGAAUCACCCUUUAUGCCAAACCCUACCCUGACCCUUUAAGAAUUCUGAAUUUGAACGUAUGUUCUCGAUCUCGGAGCCAGACCUGGAUGGCGACCUUCACGCCCUAGCAAUGUCCUAGCUAGCUUAGUUGGCUUCUCCACGCUACCUGCCAGUGGGUUUGCGUUGCAGAAGGUGCCCCAAAAGGAAAGAGGUCCUUUGAGCACUGCAGCUACUCUGGAUGCCACUGGAAAAAAAAACACAUAAAGCAUUUUUAUGGUCAGCAAAUUGUUACGAUUUUAUUGAGUGGUUGAAUACACAAGAAAAAAAAAAAUUGUUCUUUUCGUGUUACUGAAAUAUUUUUUU